GUACAUCAUUACUGUAAGUCACUUUGGACAAAAGUGUCUGCUAAAUGUAAUGUA
rfam:Astyanax mexicanus Tnplaced_Scaffold_50, whole genome shotgun sequence.